rnacentral:rRNA from 1 species
UGCUUGAGUAACCAAAAAAAUUAGGAAAGAAAUCGUUAAGGGCGUAUGGCGGAUGCCUAGGCUUUCAGAGGCGACGAAGGACGUGGUAAGCUGCGAAAAGCUACGGGGAUUGGCACACACGAAUAGAUCCGUAGAUAUCCGAAUGGGGCAACCCAAUACAUUGAAGAUGUAUUACUGCGUAAGCAGAGCAAACCCGGAGAACUGAAACAUCUAAGUACCCGGAGGAAAAGAAAUCGAAGAGAUUCCGUAAGUAGUGGC